AUUGAACGCUGGCGGCAGGCCUAACACAUGCAAGUCGAACGAGUGGCGGACGGGUGAGUAAUGUCUGGGAAACUGCCCGAUGGAGGGGGAUAACUACUGGAAACGGUAGCUAAUACCGCAUACCAUCGGAUUUGCCCAGAUGGGAUUAGCUAGAAGGUGGGGUAACGGCUCACCUAGGCGACGAUCCCUAGCUGGUCUUAGAGGAUGACCAGCGACACUGGAAUUGAGACACGGUCCAGACGCCUACGGGAGGCAGCAGUGGGGAAUAUGGCACAAUGGGCGCAAGCUUGAGGCAGCCAUGCCGCGGGUAUGAAGAAGGCCUUCGGUUUGUAAAGCACGUUCAGCGAGGAGGCGUUACUCGCCGAAGCAGUACAGGCUAACUUCGGGCCAGCAGCCGCGGUAAUUC
rnacentral:rRNA from 1 species